UACAGAGGGGGCAAGCGUUGUUCGGAAUUACUGGGCGUAAAGGGCGCGUAGGCGGCCUUCUAAGUCGAACGUGAAAUCCCCGGGCUCAACCCGGGAACUGCGUCCGAUACUGGAAGGCUUGAAUCCGGGAGAGGGAUGCGGAAUUCUUGGUGUAGCGGUGAAAUGCGUAGAUAUCAAGAGGAACACCUGAGGUGAAGACGGGUUGCUGGGCUGACACUGACGCUGAGGCGCGAAAGCUAGGGUAGCAAACGGG
rnacentral:rRNA from 1 species